GAUGAACGCUGGCGGCGUGCUUAACACAUGCAAGUCGAACGGGAAACCUUUUAUUGAAGCUUCUGCAGAUUUAGCUGGUUUCUAGUGGCGGACGGGUGAGUAACGCGUGGGUAACCUGCCUUAUACAGGGGGAUAACAGUCAGAAAUGGCUGCUAAUACCGCAUAAGCGCACAGAGCUGCAUGUCUCAGCGUGCAAAACUCCGGUGGUAUAAGAUGGAUCCGCGUUGGAUCAGCUGGUUGGCGGGGUAACGGCCCACGACGGCGACGAUCUAUAGCCGGCCUGAGAGAGAGAGCGGAGACAUUGAGACGAGGACACAGCCGGGACUCCUGCGGGAGGGAGCAGUGGGGGAUAUAGCACAAUGGGGGAAGCCAUGAAGCAGCGACGCCGCGUGAAGGAAGAAGUAGCUAAAGAAGAGAACUUCGAUCAGAAGGGGAGGUAAUGACGGUACCUAAAGAAGAAGCACCGGCUAACUACGUG
rnacentral:rRNA from 1 species